rnacentral:tRNA from 1 species
UUAAAGUUAGUUAAAAUCAAUAUAGCUUUGUCAAAGCUAAGUAACUCCUAAAAAGUACUUUUUU